rnacentral:rRNA from 1 species
CCUACGGGGGGCAGCAGUGAGGAAUAUUGGUCAAUGGUCGGGAGACUGAACCAGCCAAGCCGCGUGAGGGAUGAAGGUACAGAGUAUCGUAAACCUCUUUUGUCAGGGAACAAAGGCGGGGACGUGUCCCCGGAUGAGUGUACCUGAAGAAAAAGCAUCGGCUAACUCCGUGCCAGCAGCCGCGGUAAUACGGAGGAUGCGAGUGUUAUCCGGAUUUAUUGGGUUUAAAGGGUGCGCAGGCGGUCUGUUAAGUCAGCGGUCAAAGCCCGGGGCUCAACCCCGGCCCGCCGUUGAAACUGGCAGGCUCGAGUUGGAGAGAAGUAUGCGGAAUGCGCGGUGGAGCGGUGAAAUGCAGAGAUAUCGCGCAGAACUCCGAUUGCGAAGGCAGCAUGCCGGCUCCACACUGACGCUGAGGCACGAAAGCGUGGGUAUCGAACAGGAUUAGAUACCCUUGUAGUC